rnacentral:rRNA from 1 species
AUACGUAGGUGGCAAGCGUUGUCCGGAAUUAUUGGGCGUAAAGCGCAUGUAGGCGGUGCCUUAAGUCUGUCGUGAAACUGCGGGGCCUAACCCCGUAUGGCGAUGGAAACUGGGGCACUUGAGUGCAGGAGAGGAAAGGGGAACUCCCAGUGUAGCGGGGAAAUGCGUAGAUAUUGGGAAGAACACCGGUGGCGAAGGCCCCUUUCUGGACUGUGUCUGACGCUGAGAUGCGAAAGCCAGGGUAGCGAACGGGAUUAGAUACCCCGGUAGUCCUGGCCGUAAACGAUGGGUACUAGGUGUGGGAGGUAUCGACCCCUUCCGUGCCGGAGUUAACGCAAUAAGUACCCCGCCUGGGGAGUACGGCCGCAAGGCUUAAACUCAAAGGAAUUGACGGGG